rnacentral:lncRNA from 1 species
UCGAAACCCAAAAACAAAGCAUUCUAAAAUCUCAGAAAUUUCACGAAAAUGGGCUCAACGGCAGAGACACAUUCAACUCCAGUGCAAGUCACCGACGACGAAACUGCUCUCUUUGCCAUACAGUUAGCCAGUGCCUCAGUUCUCCCUAUGGCUUUAAAAUCAGCUAUAGAGCUCGAUCUUCUAGAGAUCAUGGCCAGGAACUGUUCUCCCAUGUCUGCAUCUGAGAUCUCUUCUCAUCUUCCGACCAAAAACCCCGAAGCUCCGGUCAUGCUUGACCGUAUCCUCCGUCUUCUUACGGCUUACUCCGUCCUCACUUGCUCCGUCCGUACACUUCCCGACGGCGCUUAAUGAUUAUAAAAUUAUAAUAUUUAAUUAUUUAAGAGAUUACUUUCAAAAAUUUAUAUAUUUUGAAGUACGUUGAUGUAAAAAUAAGAAGAUGAAUUAAUUUAAAUAUAUAGAUAUCCACUAAAUUUUACAAAUACAAAUUUUAUGUUUGUUUUGCUGGAUUAUUUUGGAUAUAAUGAUUAUGCUUUAAAAUGCAGAUAUGUACAGUUCCACUUAAAAAGUUUGGUCUAGCUCCACAAACAUCAUAUUCCAAAUAAAAAGUUUGGUUUUGAGAAGCAAUCAACCCACAAACAAAUCAGUGAAACUUUAGGCUUUAAACGAACAAAUAUCAUAUUAAGUAAGAAAUUGAAUAUCUGAUGACGAAUAUUUAGUUUUAGGAGAGCGUUGGGCCAUUUUCAAAAUAAAAAAGUGUUGCAAAAAAAGUGUUUGGCUUAGAAGAAAUUUGGUAUGUCACAAAAAUGGUAUCAGAAAAAGAUUUGUGAUCCUUAGUUUGCAAGGAGGAUUGCUAGGAUAAAUAUGCAAUCCAGAUCUCGCAUCGAUACUAAACCAUAAAGUGUGUAUAUAUAUAUUCUCUCGAGUUCCACUUAGUGUAAUGUUUUCUGGGAUAAAACAAUCCAAAAAUAAAAUUGUGAGGACUUAGAUAUAAAGCGGAUAAUAUCAUAAUAAACGAAGAGUUGAACAUCUAAAUCAGCUAUAGAUAGCUAGUAAAGCGUUAAGCGUUUGGCCUAUGAAAACAUAUAGUUUAUCACAACAAGUUGACGCUAUGUGGUCAUUUGUUUGUGAGGAAAAUUGUUAUGAUAAAUAGACAACCCAAGUCUUACAUCCGAUAUUAGACAAAAAAGAAUCUAGCAUAUAUAUUUAGUCCAACUAUAUUUAAUAGUAUGAGUUUGUUUGAGAAGCAACUGAACUAAAAAUAAAUCCGUAAAAAAAGUAUAAAAUCGAUAAUAUCAUAAUAUACGUGAGAUUAGACAUCUAGCGGUGGACAUACGUUACAGCACGACAUGUUGCGAAACCUAACCCCCAUGCAUAUUUCCUAUAUAAUAGACCACUUCUCACAUAUCACACAUCGAAACCCAAAAACAAAGCAUUCUAAAAUCUCAGAAAUUUCACGAAAAUGGGCUCAACGGCAGAGACACAUUCAACUCCAGUGCAAGUCACCGACGACGAAACUGCUCUCUUUGCCAUACAGUUAGCCAGUGCCUCAGUUCUCCCUAUGGCUUUAAAAUCAGCUAUAGAGCUCGAUCUUCUAGAGAUCAUGGCCAGGAACUGUUCUCCCAUGUCUGCAUCUGAGAUCUCUUCUCAUCUUCCGACCAAAAACCCCGAAGCUCCGGUCAUGCUUGACCGUAUCCUCCGUCUUCUUACGGCUUACUCCGUCCUCACUUGCUCCGUCCGUACACUUCCCGACGGCGUCGACCGGCUUUACGGGCUUGGUCCAGUUUGCAAAUAUUUCAUCAAGAACGAAGAUGGCGUCUCGAUAGCUCCUCUCUGUCUCCUGAAUCAUGACAAGGUCUUCAUGGGCAGCUGGUAAGUAUUUACGAAGCCACACUGAAAAUUAUCAUAUCAGUUACUUUUUAUAAGUUAUGCUUCUUGGUUGAUGUACUUAAUAAUAAUAUACAUAAGUGAGAUCCACACAGUGCAAAGACCUUAAUUUGUUACUGCACCAAAAGUAUACCGGUCAUAUCAUUGGUUACAACGAUUAAACAGACUGGAGAACAAAAUAAUUUUAAUAAAUUAUAGGAAAAAAAAUAGAUAAAAAGGCAUAAAUUCAAAGUACGGGGUACUAUGUUGGAUUGGUCAUCAAUAAGAUGGCCGACAUCACUUGCUUUUAGAGCGUCCAUUUAUCGAUCUAAUAUUACGUGUGGCCACAAUCAAGAUCAGCUUACGUUGUAUAAAGAAAACACAAUGGUCCCUCCGUUGUAAAGGAUUUAUCUAACUCUGUUCAAAAGAGUUACAAAUCAGAAAGUAAUACUAUUUAAGUUUAAGAAUUAUAUUGAGAUACAAAUUGUGGCGAAUGCAUGCUGCUUUUUUUUACUGGGGGAAAACUAAUAACCGACUAUUUAGUUUAAUACUAACUAGAUUUUGAUCCGCGAGUUUGCGUAGAUAUAUUUUUUUAAAAAUAUGAUUCUAUUUGUUUUUAUGUCACUAUUUAGGGUUGGGCAAAAACACUCGAAUUCGAAGAACCGAACGGAUCCCAAUCCGAAUAAAUAGUACCAAAUCCGAACCAAAAUUGAUUAAAUAUCCAAAUUAUUCAAAAUUUUGGUAUUUGAAAAACUGAAACUUAAUCUGAUCCGAACCAGAGUAUUUUGGGUAUCCAAAAUAGAUUUAUAUACUUAUAUAAAUUAAUUAUUUUUAGAUUUAAUAUUAUAUAAAAACAUCUAGAAUAUAUAUGAUACUUUUAAGUUUGUUUAAAUACUUGAAAAUAUAUACAAAUAAUCAAACGUAAAUAUCUAAAUAGUUAAAAUAUACUCAAAACUCCAAAACUACUUAAAUAAUUAUUAAUUAUCUAUCCAAAUAUUUAAACCAAACCAAUUUAUAUGUUAAGUUAGGUACUCUAACAUAUGUUAUCUAAAUUUAUAUGUAGUAUAUUCUAUUGUUUAUAGUUUUUUUUUUAAAUUAAAUAAUAAAAUAAAUUUUAAAAUAAUUUAAAUUGGUUAUCCAAAUCCAAACUGAAUCCUCAAAGAUUUGAACUAAACACGAAAUCCCAAACAAACCCCGAAAACGAACCCGAACGCCCACCCCUAAUCACUAUUAUAUAUCUCAUAUGUGUCAUCAUAGGUUACAAAAAUAUGUGUUAUCAUAUAAUUAAUCGUAUUAUAUAUGUACCAUCAAAUAGGUAAUCUUAUAAUUAAUAAUAUUUUAUAUGUACAAUCAUAUAAAUGAUCACAUAUAUUAUAUUUUUAAAUUCCAAUAUGAAAUAUAAAAACCAUAAUUUAAGUUGAUGUUUGAAAUUGGGCUUUGUAUUGUAAUUUUCUUAUAUAUAUUGAAAACAUUUUUAUAAUGGUUAUUGGAAAAUAUGUUAGUAAAAAUCAAUUUUUGAAUAUAUGUAUAUUUUUGACUGAAUUUUUGAUAUAAAUAAAUUUAAAUUAUUAUUUUGAUUUGAAUAUAUAUAUCAAGUAACAUAAGCCCAUUACUUUUUAAUAUAAUGUAAUGAACUUCUAAUUUUAUUAAUAGCAUAAGUCCAUUAUGUUUUUUUUUUCCAAUUUACUGCUAUUAAUAUUUCCAAACAACACUAUACUUUUUUAACUACUAUCUAUGUUGCCAAACAAAAGCUUAAAGUACUUCUACUUUAAUAAGAUAGAUUUACAAGGUUGAGAUCCACGCUUUGCGUGGGUUGAGAUCCACGCUUUGCGUGGGUUGAGACGAGUGUAAAAAUUAUAUAUGUCAGGUAAGGUUGUUCAAUACAGAUUUUGAUCUGGUUUCAGUUCAGUUUUUUGGUAUUUUGGUUUAUAAGAAUUAGAUACCAUAUUUAAACCAUAUAUAUAUAUUGGUUUGGUUCGGGCUAUAUACUGUCAGUUUUUUUAUACCAAAAACUUAAACUAUAUUUAUCUGUUAUAAUAUUUUUUCAAUUUAAUUUUGUAUGAUUAAAAUUUGAAUUUAUUAAACAGUACUAUAAUUUUUAAAUAUGAUGUUUUCUAUUUAAUUUAAAUAUUCAAAAUAACUAACAAAUAAAUUAUAAGAUUAUAAUUUCAUGAGAUGAAAACAAAAAAGAUUAACAAUAUAAAUAACUAAAUUUUAGCAAAAAUGUAUGUCAAUGAAAGUCUUUAGUUAAAAAAAAAAUUAUUCAAGUUAACGUUUUAAAUAUUAAAAUCAUACCAAUAAACUGAACUAUAUAUAUAUAUAUCAUCAAUUAUAUUAUGUAAUUUAUGUAUAACUACAUUAAUAUAUUUUAAUCUUUUUGUUUGGUUGGAUCAAUUUAUAUACUGAAUCAUAUUCAUUUACCGUAUAACUAUAUUACUAUACUAACUUGUACUUAAUGUAAUCAAAGUUUUUUUAUUUUAUAAUUAAACCUAAAAUAAUUUUUGAAAAUAGAUCCCAUCUUUCAAAGUAAUAACCGAACAUAAUAUAUAAAUUUGUGAUAUAAUUUCUUCAAAGAAUAAUUUUUUUUGGAAUAUAUACUUUCAUAUGUUCCAUAAAUAUAUUGAUUUUUCCUAUUUGUUAGGAUAUAUUUAUGACGAUAUAUCUUUUGAUUCAUAUAUACUUUGAAACAAAAAAAAAUAGUAAGAAAGAUAUUUUUUAUUUAAUACAAAUGGUAUGUUGCCAAAUACAGAUUUGAAGUCAACUUGUAUAUAACGUGUAUUGAUUUAGUAUUUGGUUUACAUUUUCUCUCUAGGCUAAUAAGAAAAUUAAUUGACUUCUAAUCAGUCGACGGAUCAUUGUUUUGAUCUGGUCCGGUAUAAAAAAUAGUUGAAUACUCAACUAAAAUGGAUUAACCAACUACAUGUACGUUUUGUACGUUUUGGCGUUGCACCAUCAUCCUACAUAGAUGUUUUGGACAUGCCCCAACAUACAAUUUAAAACCAACGAAGAAUUAUUCUGUACAUGACAGUACAGAAUAAUAAAACAGUUGAAACAAAUAUGUUUUGAGCAUAACAACGUAUAACUAUCUUAACAAAACAAUGCAGACAAUUAUUAUUAUGUCUAAUUUGUAUAAGGGAUAUGGCAGUGGGUCAUAAGUAUCAAUCUUAAUAAGUUGUGUAAGAAUACUUUUUAAUGUUGUCAAAAAAAAUUGUUGGUCUAAGGUUAUAUGUGUAGUUAAUUAACUGAUAUGCAUAAAGAUAGCUGUGAAUUUAUUAUAUGUCUGAUUAAUAAAUUUUUCUAGAGAAUAAAAAGUUGGUCUAAGUUUGUCCAAAUUAGUUGUAAGACUGCCACGUAAUCAAAUAUAGAGAUUUAAAAUAAAAUGCUGACAAUUCAGUAAAAUUAAAAUGUAAUUAAUACAAAAUAGAAGGUUAGAUCUUUUUAAAUGAUCUUCAAAUCAUAUACAGUAGAACCUUUACAAUUAAUAAUGUUGGGACUUUUGAAAAUUUAUUAAUAUAUAGAGAUAUUAAUUUCUAAAAGUUUCAUUAUUUAGAUUUUUUAUUUUAAGAUAUAUAUAUUCUAAGAUAACAAAAAUAUUUGAUUUUUGUGUAUAGACAUUAAUCGUUUUCUUCUGAAAUUUGACAUCUAUAUUAAUUUUAUUACAUUAUUUGGUGUAUAUAAUAAUGUUGGGACUUUGAAAUUUUAUUAAUUUAUAGAGAUAUUAAUUUUUUAAAAAUUCAUUAUUUAGAUUUCUUAUUUUAAGAUAUAUUUAUUAAAAGAUAAGAAAAAUAUUUGAUUUUAGUGUAUAUCGUCAUUUUUUGAAAUUUGACAUUUAUAUUAAUUAUAUUAUAUUAUUUGGUGUAUAUAAUAUAUAUAUUUCAUAGAACUUAAAUGUGGUUUUAAAUAUAAAAUUACUAAAUCUCAUCAAAAAUAUUAAAUGUUAAGAAAAUAUAAAGAUAAUUCCAUUGUGAGUAUAAAACAAACAUUAUAAUAAAACAUACUUAUUUAUAUAAAAUAUGCAUAGAUAUAAAUUAUUAUUUUAUGAUUUUAAUGGGACCAUAUAUUUGCAUAAAAGUUUCUAAAAAAUUAUUAUCUUAUUAUUUUAACGAUUUUUGUCAAAUUUUGAACGAAACCAAGUUGGGACUGGCAAAAUUUAUUAAUUUAUAGAGAUAAUUAAUUUAUAGAAUAUUAAUUAAUAGAGAUUCUACUGUAUAUAGGGGAUUAGAAAAGACUAUGUCUCAACAGUAUAAUAUAUAUUUGAUAGUUUUCAAUAAGUUAUAAUAUAAAUGCAAAUUGUGUCAUACAAUUUCAGAACACAUUUAUAAUUAGUGAUAAAGACUUAAUUGAUCUUUUAAGAAAAAUGUUGAUGGGUUAGUUAAGCUAAAGGAGAGAUUGUUUGUUUGUUUGUUUUGUUAAACUCAUGCCAAAGAGUUUUGUUGCAGGUACUAUUUGAAGGAUGCAGUUCUUGAUGGUGGGAUUCCAUUCAAUAAAGCUUAUGGCAUGAGCGCGUUUGAGUACCAUGGGACUGACCUGAGAUUCAACAAGGUUUUCAACAAUGGAAUGUCUAACCAUUCCACCAUCACCAUGAAGAAGAUUCUUGAGACCUAUAAUGGUUUUGAGGGUUUGGUCUCCUUGGUUGAUGUCGGGGGUGGCAUUGGUGCUACUCUCAAAAUGAUUGUCUCUAAGUACCCUAAUCUUAAAGGCAUCAACUUUGAUCUCCCUCAUGUCAUCGAAGAUGCUCCUUCUCAUCCCGGUAAUAAUAACUUCUUUUUUUUAUAUUAACAUAUUCUCGGCAUGUUGCAAAAUCCUGGUUUUUGUGUUUAAAUUUGAUGAAGAUUGGAUUCUAAACCAAUUUUGUAGGUGUUGAGCAUGUUGGAGGAGAUAUGUUUGUAAGUGUUCCCAAAGGAGAUGCUAUUUUCAUGAAGGUUCGGAUCCGAAAUAAUACUAAUUAACUACAUAUACUGAAAACUCUUGGCAUUAUAAUGAAAUGAUGAUCAAAUAACUCUCUUUGGAUUCUUCUCAUUGUUGUAACAGUGGAUAUGCCAUGACUGGAGUGACGAACACUGUUUAAAAUUCUUAAAGAAUUGUUACGAGGCGCUUCCAGAGAAUGGAAAAGUGAUCUUGGCAGAGUGUAUACUUCCAGAGACACUAGACUCGAGCCUGUCGACCAAACAAGUAGUCAAUGUCGAUUGCAUUAUGUUGGCUCUCAAUCCUGGAGGCAAAGAACGGACCGAGAAAGAGUAUGAGGCAUUAGCCAAAGGAUCAGGCUUUGAAGGCAUCAAAGUUGUUUGCAACGUUUUUGGUGUUCACGUCAUUGAGCUGCUCAAGAAGAUCUGAGAAAAAGCUUUCUUAGUGGUGCUUUAUAAAUAAGCAUGCAUGCUCUCUCUUGUACGUCUACUUCACCAGCUUAAUUGUUGUACUUAUGUGAUCUUUUCCGAUUUAAAGUCUUAGACUAUGAUGCUUAAUCAUGGUUGCCGUGCGACCUGUUUAUCAAUAAAUUGUACUUGUGUUUUUAUUUCUAAGAAUAAUAUAAAACAAUCCUCUAUAUAUGUGAUUUGAGACUGAUGUGGCAAAAAGCUUAAGGUAUAUUAAAGCUUGCAAGUUGGGACUUGGGACUAGGGUCCAGAUUUGGCAUGACAUGAUUAAACAUUACAUUUGUUUCAGUCUAUUAAACUCAUGUGGUUAAUAUAUAAAUAUCAUUCUGUCCCCAAAUUAAUGAUUCAAAGAACAUGACUUGCAGGCCGUCCCGGCUUGGGACCAAUAAUGUGUUUUAUGCUUUCUGGACGUUGAAAUCGACUCAUGACACUGUAAAUAUUCCCCGUUUUAUCGACGUACGUACUGGAACCUCUCAGCAAGCAACAAUUUAGCUAAGCAAAUGCAUUUCCAACAAGAGCACACGCACACACAUAACAAAUCUCAUAUUAAGUAAUUAGGCAUUGUGAUUACAUAAGUCUUCAAAAGCUAUGUUGUUGAUCUACUAAUCAAUUCAAAGGUCUAAAUGCAAAGGAGACUGUGAACAAAAGAUAAUCUAAUAACAAAAGAUGUAAAUAGUUACGCAUUUGUCAAUCCAUAGUUCUCCACUCCAUAGAGUCUGCUGAAGCACUGCAAUGCGAAGACAUCCACUGUGCACAAGGAGCAGGCUUAUCGCAGAUGCAACAGUAACACUGCAUAUAUUCAUGUUGACCUCUGUUGUUAAUAUAAAAGGCAGUUUCAUAGGAGUCUUGAACCAAUAUAAUCCAUUCCAUACUUUUUUUUUUACUUGAAACCCUUUACUUAAAAUGAGACUGAAGUAUAUACCAGAUGACAAUGGGUUGCAUUAGGAGUUGAUCCAAAGGGAAAAUUCAAGCAAAGGUGUCUUGGAUGUGGGAAAUCUCUACAAGCUACCUGUUCAAAGAGAUUCUAUCAAUUUUUCCAAAAGAAAAAAAAAGAACUACAAAGUAUAAGUUUCAAAACUCAAACCUGGCCUGACUCAUGGAUGAUAGCCAGAUCUUUGUCACCCUCAUGAUCACCGGCAAAAGAGAGAUUCUUAACGUCAAAAGAAUCAAAAGGAUUGAAAUCGAGGAUGAAGCAGUCCUCUGUUUCCUCGAUUCUCUUCAUGUCUUGUCUGGUUUUCAGACAUAAUAUUCCUUUGAGAGGAGUCACUUCUUCUUUCUUCGUCUCCAUGUUCUCUCCUUUGAGAAGAGUGCAAGUCCAAACGUCGUACUUCCAGAACAAUUGUUUGACUUGUUUCUGACUACUGAGAAAAUUGAAAUUAGAAGGAUCAAUUGCUAUUACCAAAGCUUUUUGCCUUAGUAACAUUAGCCCAUAAUGGACCCAUUUAGUUAUCCGGAACGUUUUGAAACAAGCUUUAUUCGGUCGAUAACAUACUCGGCGAAAAUUGAGAACAAAAAAUACAAUAAAGAAAAUUUGUAAAAAUACCUUCAAACUAAAUAAUUUAGGCAAAUCUCCUAAAUAGUCUUUUUUAAAUUUUUGUUUCUUAAAUAGCCUAAAAAAGAUCAAAGUAACCAAAUUAAAUUCCAUUAAAAGGAUAAAUAGUAAUUAUACACACUCAUUAUAAUUUUACCCAAUUAUUUAUUAAAUAUAAAAAAUAAAUAAAUAUUAAUAAUUAAAAGAUUAAUAAAAUUUAAAAUUAUUUUUUUCAAAAAAAUAAUUUCUUAAAUACUUUUUUUAAGAAAAAAUUCAAAAAUUUAGGAACCAUUUUUUUAGGCUAUUUUUUUAGGCUAAUAUUUAAUUUUAUUUAGAAAACUUCCAUGUAAGUCUUUCAGAGUUUUAUUCCGAGAUUCUGGUUAACCUUUGGUUAUCACAGAAGAUUUCCGUAUAAGUCUUAUGCCGAAAGACUUACAUAGAAGUCUUCUAGUUAAAAUUAAAUAUUUAAAUUUUAUUUUUCAGUUGUAAAAAGUAAUCUGAGACGACUUACAUGGAAGUUUUCUAUCAAAAAUAAAAUAUUAAGUUUAUUUUUUUCGUGAAAGACUUUUGUGUAUAGUCUUCUAGAAAAGUUAAUUUUUUUGACACAGUUCGGUCAAUUGCAAAACUAACAUGUUUAUCCUAGAAGACUUACCGGGAAAAAUCUUCUCUGGUAUUUUCAAUAUUUUUUCAAAAACAAAAGUAAGGCAAUAUGUACAAAGGAAGACUUCCAAAGAACUUCUACGUCAAUGUUUAAUAAAUUAUCAUUUUUUUAAAUAAAUUUUUUUUAAUAUUUUCUUGUUAAUUCAUGUAUAUUAGUCGAUAUUGCAGUUCCUGAAUUAAAUUCAUAACUUCUUAUUUUUAAUUAUGGGGUUACCAACAUUCAUGUUAUCAAUGUUUCUAGCUAAUUCAAGAAGACUUCUCUUCUACACUAGUUUUUGUAUACUUGUUAAGGAACUUUUAAGAUAUGUGUUUUAACUUUUAAAAGUGUUAAGUAACUUCAAAAAUAUUAAGUCAUAUGGUUUAAUGUGUCUUCUUAGAUCAUAAUAUAUACUUUUUAACUUCCAUGAAAUUUGAAAUUUUAAUUUUCACUUAAAAUUUGAGUUUUCCGCUUAAAUUUUAAUUUUACAUCUUAAAUUUUUCGCUUGAAAUUUAAGUAUUCUGAGAAGAAGUGUUCCGGAAGACUUCUAGUGAAAUUGUUAUAUGUUUGAACUAAUGUAAUGUUUGAUCUUUUUGUGAAUUUUACUAAGUUUUUUUGAGAAAUUUUCUCCCUUAGUUGUAGUAAAUUUGACUAAUUUUUCUUAUGUUAUUGUGUUUUGCUGUUGAAGUUGUAUCAAUAAAUUUCAAUAUUGUCAAGUACUUUUGGCAAGAUAAUAUUGUAGACAUGAAGAUAUUUACCAAAAAAAAAUUCACUAAUAUAUCUCUUGAAAUUUACAAAAGAAUUCACAACUAAAAGAGUACACACUUACGAAUCACAAAAUAUAACAUAAACAAAACUAUUAUAGGAUCAUUCCUCCACAAAGAAAAGCUUGGACUCCACUUGAUCUGGGACAAAACUCUGCUAGAAGACUCCGUGGAAGUAUUCUGGAAGUCUUCUAGUGCAGUAAAUGUUAGAAGACUCUCGAAGCUUCCGAAAAGACUUCUUUGGAAAUCUUCCAAGUCUGUCUCAGAUCUGAAAAUCCCGCUUAUCCAAAAGCAUUCAAUGGUUUCAAAAUAUAGAAAAGCUUCAAAAAUAAGGUAAGAGCUCAAAGCGACCUAAAGAGUUUUCAAAACGUAAGAGCUUUAAGCAACAAGAGGUUACCAAAUGAAAAAAUACGAUUUAUAUAUCUACCUUUAAAGGAGUGAAAUAUGAAAACCAUGUAAUGAAAAACCUACAAAAUAAGAUGAAUUAGUGAGAAUGAUAUGAGAUAAAAAAUGAUAAAUUGAUAUAAAGUUUGGUGUUUUCAAGUUUUAAAAGAUUAGAGAGAGAUUUGACAGUUUUAGUUUGUGAAAAAGAGAAGCGAUUUAAGCAACAAGAGGUUAUCAAAUGAACGAAAAUCAGACAUAGAAACUUACCAAAACACUCAGAUCUGUUACGAAAAAAGAUAAAUGGGAGAAGACUCCGCCAAAAGUCUUUCAGAAGAUUUAUAGGAAGUCUUUCAGGAAGUCUUCUAGUGCAUUAAAUGUUAGAAGAUUUCCAAGAAGACUUCCCAGAAAGUUUUCCAAGUUUGUCUAAAAUGAGAAAGACAUGCAUAUCCAAAAGCAUUUAAAUACCUUCAAAACAUAGAAAAACUUCAAAAGAGUUAUAAGCAACAAAAGAUUACCAAAUGAAAAAAAAUAUUAUUUAUAGAUCUACCAUUAAAGAAGUAGAAGAUGAGAACCAUGUAAUAAAAAAACUUGCAAAAAUAAAAUUAAUCAGUGAGAAGACAUGAGAUAACAAUAAACUGAUAUAAAAUUUGGUGUUUUAAGUUUAAAGAGUUUAGAAAGAGGAUGGAGAGUUCUAAAAUGAGAAACACUAUAUUUUUAUUGCAGCUAUUGGCGAAGAAGAGAGAGAAUGUAUAAUUUUCUCUAUAUAGGGAAACAAAAAUUUCAAUAAGGUUAAAUAUUUUGAUUCAGAAGAAUUUCAAGUAAAUCUUCUAAUAGAAAAUUUCCUAAAAGACUUACUUGAAAGUUUUCUAGACCAUAAAUUUACUAUUCGCCGAGAAGACUUUUGCAAAAUUCUUCUAGUGCAUUACUUGUUGGAAAACUUAAGUCACUUAAACCUUAAAUUCAAAAUAACUAACUAAUUAAAAACAAACAAUUCAUAAAAUUUAGAAUAACCUUUAAAUGUGUUUAAUAUACACAAAAUUAAACACAUAUAAGCAAAAAUUUAAUUUUCCAGAAAAAAAUAUCUUCCAAAAUCUAACCCUAAAAAUACAUAUAAUACUACAACAUAUGUUACCAAACCAUUAACCAACUAAUACAAUGACAUACUAAACUCACUCGUCUUUGUUGAAAACAAUUCAAUUUUACUAUAUCUUAAUUUAUAUCAUUUAUAAAUGUUUAUAAUUGCAUGAUUUCAAUUUUUUCCCAUCAAAAUAUUAUUUAUAAACUUUAUAAAUUAUUUUUAAAAUCUACUAUAUGAGAAGACUUUAAAAAAGUUUUCUAAGACUUACAUAACUUCAGAAAACUUUAUGAGGUUAUAUUGUAAGAAUGAAUUCUGAGUUUUUGUUUGAUCACAUGAGCUAGUUGUUUCAAUAGUCUUUUGGAUUAUUUUUGGAGUUGAUUCAAGUUUGAAUAUACUUUUGGGAUUAAAACUAAGUUUUUAAUCAUAUUUGACAGAUUCUCCUAUAUAAAUAUAUUAUAUGCACGAAUAAGAAAUGUACCGAAUCAUUAGCUUUGAGUUUCAUGUUGUGCAACCGACCGAAAAGAUGUACAACUCAUUCAGUUCAAAAAAAGGAUGUGCAAAUCAUUUCUAGUUAUCAUUUAUUUUAGGUUUACGUCACAAAUUAUUUAGGUGCCAAAGGUGAUAGGUUUACAUCGAUAACACUUUUUACAUCCCACUUAUUGGUAUAAUAGACAAAACGUUUCUGUGAUAUUGAUGUAUCACUUUUUUUUGUCAACAUUGAUGUAUCACUUAACACGGUGGAGUAGGUACUUUGGAUUCUUUCUUUUUUUUUUUUUCUUAUAGGACUUUGAAAAUUGAGAUGUCCCGUGUUUGUUUAUCAUCUUCUUUGGAAUAAAAAGAAGUUGACAAUAACAGAUUAAAAAUGUUUAUACAUUCUUUAACUGAUGCAGAUUCAUAUAGUAUAAACUAAUGUCAAAUGUACCGAUUAUAUUUAGCUGAUGUUAAAGCAGUUAACAUCAGCAAGAUCUUGAUCCGCGCGCCCGCACAGGUGUAUUUUUCAAAAAUAUGUUGCUAUUUAUUUUUCAUAUCACUAUUAUAUAUCAUAUAUGUGCUAUCAUAUAAUUAAUCAUAUUUUAUAUGUACCAUCAUAUAAGUAAUCAUAUAAUUAAUUGUAUUUUAUAUGUAACAUCAUAUAAAUAAUCACAUAUAUUAUAUUUUUAAAACUUAAUGUGAAAUAUAAAACCAUAAUUUAAGUUGGUGUUUGAAAUUGUGCUUUGUAUCGUAUUUUUCUUAUAUAUAUUGGUAACAUUUUUUUUAUAAUGUUUAUUGGAAACUAUUUUAGUAAAAAUAAAAUUUUGAAUAUAUGUAUAUUUUUGAAUACAUUUUUGAUAUUAAUCAAUUUUAAAUUAUUAUUUUGAUUUAAAAUAUGUAUAUAAAAUUGAAUUUUGUUUUAUGAUUAUUUUAGAUAAAAAAUUAUUUUUAGAUAAUUAGAUUGGACCAUUUUCGUGUAUUUUAAAACAGGCUCAGAUAGAUAAUUUAACGUAAUAUAAUGGACUUCUAAUUUUUUUUUAAUAACAUAAAUCCAUUACUUCUUUUUUUAAUAUACUGAUAUUCAUGUUUCCAAACAACAUUAUUCUUCUUUUUAUAUUGUUAUCCAUGUUUCAGUUUUUCAAACAAUUUUCAAAUGUACUUCAGUUUUAAUAAUAAAUAUAUCAUUAAUCAUUUAUUAUAAACCAUAUAUUUUAGAGAUUUACUGUAAGUAAUUUAAAAUAGUAUAAUAGUAUCGUUUUAUUAUACUAUUUAAUAAUGCUACAUCAUUUUUGACAUUUUUAUAUGUUAACUCACAACAAAACUUGUAGAUCUACAUAAGACACUCACAAAAUCCUGAUAAAAGUGUGGGACUUUAUGGUCCUGGUAAAGAGAUGGGAUUGGGAUGCCAACUCGUUUCAGGUUCGAUCUAUCUAAUGUACGAAAUUAAUUUAUAUUUUUACUGAACACCUACAUAGAUAUGGGUCUCUGGUUAUGGUCCAGUGUAUAUUUGGAAAAAGAUCUAUGGUGCAGGUUGUUCAUACACCACUAAAUCAUUGUAAUUUGUAACUGUACAAUAUUUUUAUUUACAUACUAUACUCUUAAAAUUUUAUAAUAUAACAAAUGUUCUUUGAUAAAAAAACCUAAAAUUUUCAAUGGACAGUAAACAGAACGUUGAUAAAUAGUGAAAUUAAAUUGCUGAUUUAUAUGAUGUAUUAUAUCUCUUUUUAUAUUAAACUCCAUUUUCUUCAGUAAAUUAAACUACAAUUUCAAAGGACAAAAACAUAAAUCUAAUACUACCCGAAAUUAAAAAUAUUCAUGUAUUUCCAAAAGAUCCACAUUUCAGAAAAAAAUUGUUUUAAAAAGAUAUAUUUUCUACAUUUUAAUGUAUUAAUAAUAAAUUGUAGAUUUCAAAAAUAGUAAUUAUGUUUAUUGAGAUUCUAUGGUUUAAAAGUUGUUGGAAAUAGUUAAUUGAAAAAAAUCAAUGUAUUGAUAAUCAAAAUUUAAUAUAUUUUUGAACAUAUGCAAAAAUUCUAAAACAUGUAUUUUUAAUAAAAAGAGAUUGUCGUCUAUACUUAUGGGUGAGAGACUCUGUGGUUCUAUCAAUGUUCAGAAGUGUUCACACAACUUUCAAAGGGGUAGGUGAGAUGCUUCUCCUUGUUUGGCAUACUAAGCUUAAUCAUACCCUAAAGUAACAUGUGUCUAUCAGAACAUAUACAUUAUAAAAUAUCAAACUAUUGUGAUUUGACUUUUUCUUGUGGUUGUUGUUCUGGUUGGUGUGAAUAAUUGAAUAUACAAAAAGGAAUAUUUGUUUGGUUAAGCAAUUUAAAAAAAAAAAAAUUUGACAUGCACUAAUUUACAAAAACAGAUGCAUUCGAUGAAUAAGAAUUUUAAAGGAUAUCUCACCAAAAAAUUAGAGGAAUUUUAAUUUUUACUAUAUUGUUAUUUCUAUUAUUUAUGUUUAUCUUCACUAAAUGGACAUUUCACAAAUAUAUUCUUCAUUAAUACGCAAAAGACUCUUAUACCCUUAUUAUAUAUAUUUAUUUAAAUAAAUAAAAAAUUAAAUUAAAUUAAAAAAUAAUAAUAAUUUUUUUAUAUAGUUUUCGAAUUGUAAAUUUUCAAAUUCAAACUUUUAUAUAAAUUUUUUUUUUGAAUUUCUUUUUGAAAUUAAAAAAUUAUUUUUGAAACUAUUUUAAAAAUUUUAAAGUAUUUAUUGAUAUUAUAUUAGAUACACAAACUCUACAUUCCAAAACCAUACCUCAAGUGAUUAAAUAAACCAACUACAUAUUACAUAUAAAAAUCACAUGUCUAAUUCAAAAAUAUAAUAUUAUUAAUCCAAUUUGUGAAUAUAAAUAUAAAACUAUUUAAAUUGAAAGUAAAUAUUAGUUAACUAUCAUACUAAAUUUUUUUUUUUAAUAUUUAUAUCCGUGCAUGAGCACAGAAGAAUCACCUAGUAUAAAGUAUGUUGGAAUCAAACGUGACAAAAAGACAACAUUUAAAUUUCUAUAAAGAAAUAUAAAAUAAUCAUAAAAUAAUUAAAAAAAUAUAUUUUCUUCCAUAAAUAGAAUGAUUAAUAAUUUGGUUUCAUAUUAUAAGAAUAAUAUCAGAUUAAAUUUGCGUGUGGCAUUUCAUAUUUCAAUUUUUUAUUAUUAUUGUACGUAUAUUUAAUUAUUGAUCUAAUAUUGUUUAGUAUAUAAUUUGUUUUUGAUGAAAUUUUGGUUAUUUAAGUUCAUGGUUGAUCCCAUUUUUUUAUCAUAAAAAUCAAAGUUAAUAUUAAAUACAUAUGGAAAUCAAAUGGAAACUUUGGGAAUUUUUUACCGAACUACUUUUCAUAAUUCAGAAAUAUUAUUAGUUUAACCUAAUUUCGAAUUGCAUGCAUAUUCCAAUUUCACGAAUGAGGAUCAAUGAGAGAGUACACUGUGAGUUCAGAGUAAAAAUUGUGGUGGUUUUUAUUUGCUUGUUUCGGGUGAGUGGUUGGGAGCCAGGGAUCAUUCCAUACCGAGAUGGAUGAUCCUGAUCCCACCCGUUUGAUUAGUCCUUUGCUAACCAGAGAUCUAGCAGAUGUGAUACUCCGCCAACCAUAUGACGGAGAGUAUGAACGGAUCGGUUCCAGGGGUGAUGCAUUCCUGUAAUAUCGACCUUUGAAGACACGAGAAAAUAAAGUAUCCGGCUUCUCAAUCAGACCCCAUAACUGUUUACCAAGCAUCGCUGUAUUGAAAUCAGUGAUGUCUUUAAACCCCCAAUCCUCCUUCCUACUUACUAAUACAUACCUUAUCCUAAGAUUUUCAAUGCAUUCCUCUUGUACUUCCACCAGGACUCCACCAAAAACGUGCUACCGUAUUUAUCAAUUUUUUUGCGGUUACCUUCGGUAAUCUAUAGCAAAACAUCACAUGAUUUGGCAAUGCCGUAACUACUGAUUUAAUAACUACUUCUUUUUCACCUUUCGUGAAAAAUUUGAAAGUCCACCCAUUAACCCUUUUGUUAAGUCUAUCUUGCACAAAGCUGAAAACCUGAAUCUUUGAGCCCCCAAGAUUUUCCGGUAAUUCAAGAUAAGUUCCCAUUCCUCCAAAAUUCUGAAUACCCAAAAUAUCUCUUAAUUCCUGUCUAACUGAUUCUUCAAUCUUGUGCCCAAAUUGGAUCGAAGACUUAUCAAAAUUAAUGAGUUGACCUGAUACCAUCUCAUAUUCUUUUAAAAUCCGGAGAAUAGAUUGACAUUCUUCUCUUUGUGCUUUACAAAAGAAAAGGCUAUCGUCCGCGAAAAGCAAAUGAGAGAUUGAUGGACACACUCUGGCUUCCUUCAUACCUGUCAGCUGUUUCUCACUCUCCGCCUUUUUAAUAUUUGCAAUCAAAGUCUCAGUACACAAGAUAAGAAAAUAAGGUGAUAAGGGAUCUCCUUGUCGUAAUCCACGCUGUGGAAUAAUGAGGCCCCUUGGUUGGCAAUUCAGUAAAACUCGAUAUUGAAACGAUGAAAUACAUUCCAUCAUUAACUUAAUCCAGUAAAGAUCAAAACCCACCUUUUCUAGUAAAGCCUGAAUAAAAUACCUUUGUAAACUAUAAUGGGAAUGUUUUUAUUCUUUUAUACCUUUGUAUUACCAAGUAGAUUUUGGAAAGUUAUCUUCAGAAAGCGAAAAUAAUUAUUAAAAAUUAUAUAUAAAUCAUAAAAAUACGCAAAAAGCAAUAUUAUUAUGAGAAUAUUUUACAUUGUUUGAUUUACAUAAAUUGAAAUCCAAAACUAAUUUGGACAUAUUGAUCUAAAUUUGUUAGAAUGUAUAUCAGAACUAUUUUUACAAGGAUAAAAUAGAUAUUCUAACUUAUUUUAUACGUUUUAUAAAAGAUAAUUUGUAUUUUAAAGUCUUCUCUAUGAUCUAUUUAAAUAUAGAAUAUAUAUGCCUCAGUUCUAACAAAGAUUUUUGUUAUUAAUAAAACAUAAUAUAUAUUGUUAGCUUUUAAUUUUAUUGUAGAAAAUAAGAAAACUUUAACUUAUGUUAUAUCUUUUACUCUAUUAUAUAUUGUAGAUCUAAUUUGUAGAAUGUAUAUUAUAACUAUUUUUACAAGGAUAAAAUAGGUGUUCUAUCUUAUCUUAUACGUUUUAUAAAAGAUAAUCCGUAUUGUAAAGUCUUUUCUAUGAUCUAUCUAAAUAUAGAAUAUGUAUGCCUUAGUUCUAACUUCUAACCAAAUUUUUUUGUUAUUAAUAAAACAUAAUAUAUAUUGUAGGCUUUUUAUUUUACUGUAGAAAAUUAAGAAAACGUUAACUUUUGUUCUAUCUUUUACUUUAUUAUAUACCAUAUAUAAAACAUCGAGUUUUAAUAUGUAUGAUAUGUUCUAAACAUGGUAAAUUUAAAUUCUAACAUUUUCUCUAUUUCCUAUUUUCUAUAAUAUGUAUUCUAACUUUUUGUUUAUGUCCUAUAUAUUCUAUGUUUUUAAAUCUAAGAAAAUUUAGGAAGCAACCCUGUCUAAUUUUAUUCAAAGUUAUUUUGCUAUUGACGUUUACACUGGAUCAUGUUGAAUUCAACAUCUUUUAUUCAACGAUCUUUCUCUUUUAUUUUUCUUCCAUAUAUCUUUUUGAGAGAGAAAACACAGAUGAAGACAAAGAAAAAGGAGUUGUGAUGUCCGACAGAAAGAACGCUGGAGAGAACAUCGGUGAUAAUGGCGAUGAGAACGUGAAAGAAUCGUCUUGGUCUAGUUUUUCUUGAAGAGACAGAUUGUGAAGAGACGAAAUAAACGAGAGAUAAAAAUUAUUAGUUGUAAAUUUUUUUAAUGAAAAAAAAAAUAUUAAUAUGUUAAACUAAUAAAAUUAUGUUAUUUGUUAAUUAUAGGAUUAGUUUCAUAUUUAUAAAAGUAAAAGUAUAUUGAAACAAAAACAAUUGACUCAAAGAUGUAAGGAGACAAACCAUUUUUCAAUAUGGCCGAAUUACCCAAUUUUUUCUUUUAUGAGUCUUAUUUGUUGAUAAUGAUGUAUUAUCUAAUUUUAAAAUUGCCUACAUUUUCACUUAAAAUUUUCAUUAGUAUACGCUUUUCUUUUUUCUGGCGUUAGAAUCAUCUAGUGUAUUUUGUUUCUAUAAUCUUCAUGGUACAUAAUGCAUAUCUAAAUAUAUGAAGCAAAUAUAUAAAAUAUUGGUUUUACGAAUAUAAAACUAAAAUUGAUCCGUAUGUAAAAAAAAGAAAUAAACUUUAUCCAUAAUGUUUUAAAUGAUCAAGUAAAAUAUACCAAUUAUCAGUUAAUAUAUUCUCAACUUGGUAGUGUAAUGGUAAGGGAUAGCUUGGAACAUAGAUACCUAGAUUUUUUUGACUAAAACAUAGAUACCUAGUUUGUGAAUUUGAUUUUUAAUUAAAAAAAAAUUGUUGCUAUUUUCCUAUUUAAAUUUGAGAUCCAGUCCAAUUUAAAUCUAAGAUCGACAAGUUCAGUCCAUACUCCAUAACAUAUAUAAAAAGAAUUAUUAUAUUUUCAUUGAUUCCUCAACAUAUCUACUAAAUACCAAAUGUUAGCAAAAAAAAAAAACAUCUCUACUAAAUAACAAAAGAAAAUCUAGCGGUACAUAGAAGUGUAAAGUACUAGCGAGGUCUCGCUUAAAAUAGCAUAGUUGUUAUCGUUACCGAACUUAAUAGCUUUAUAGCAAGUUUUUUUUUUUUUUUUUUGUAACAUAGCUUUAUAACAAGUUUAAUAGAUUGGAUUUUGACCCGUACACCGUGUAAAUAUUUUUUCAUUUUAUAAAUUUAUUUGAUAUUAUUAUAAAUGUUCUAAAUAUAUAAUUUUCAUUUCAGUGUUAUAUAUUGUGUAAUUCUAUAAUAUUAUUAUUUAUAUUUCAUAUUCGACAUUAUUAAUAUAUAGUGAUUUGUUUAAUAUAUUUUACAUUGUUAUUAAUUUUUUAUUACUUACUAAUAUACUUUCGAGUUAAAUACAGUAAAAUAAAAAUCUGAAAUAAUCAAAUAGUGAACCUCCUUCAAAAUAUUUUUUCUUUACUUUAUACACUUUGUACAUAAUACUUUUUUAAAAUUUAUUUACUUAUAUUAUAGAAAAGAAUAUGUUUAAGAUAACUUAUAAUUACAUAUUGUUUUAAAAAAAAUAUACUUUAACAUAUAUCAUUUUAGUAUUUUACGUGAUGUAUAAGUAAAAACAUUAUUUGUUUAAACAAUAUAGCCCUAAUAUUUUAGUAAAUUUUAUACAUAGUAGCAUCUAUCAUAUUCUUUUAGUAAAUAUUAUUGAUAUAUGAUAUUUUUGGAUGUUAUGAUAUUAAGUUUAAUUUUUAAUUAAUAUUUCAAAAAAGUAGAUUGAUUUAAUUUUUACAACAUAUAUUUUUUGUUUUUCGUGGUGCAUUUCAAAAAGUGAUUAUUUAUUAUCUAUGAUUUUCUCUCUUUUUUUAAUUUGAAAUAUUAUCAUUUUGAUUUUGAAUAUUUAUUUUUAAAAUUUUAUAUUUUGUUCAGAAAACUUUGGAUUUUUUUUUGUUACUGCAUUAAUAUAUUAUUUUAUAAAAUUAUUUAAAUUUUAGGUAAUAUUUUCUAAAUGUAUCUCAACAAAUUUUGUAAUAGUUCAAAUAAAUAAAUAAAAAUAGUUUUAAAAUCAAAUUUUGACUUUUCAUUAAUAUUUAGUUGAAUUAUUAAAUUUCAUAGGUUUUAAAUAACAUAUUUUCAAUAUUAUAUGAACUAAAGGUUAUUAUAUACUACUAUAUUUUUGUAUGAAUAUACUAUUAUAUUUUUGUAUAAAUAUAUUCUUAAACAAUAUAUUGUUGAGAGUUUCAAAAUAAAUAAAAAUAUAGUAUAUAGUUAUAUAUAUAAAAGUUUAACCUAUGUUAAGAAAUUAAUUUUUGUAUAAAAUAUUAUAUAGUUUACGAAUUUUAAUCCUUUUUAAUGAUGGCUGUUAAUUUAUUUAAAUGAAAUAAUUAAAAAAAAAGUGUUUGUCAAUUUACCUAUUUAAUAUAUUUUUCAUAUUUAAUUCAUAUAUCACUUCUAUUUUUAUAUAAUACAGAAUUUAAUUAUAGAAUUUAUAAAAAGUUGUCUAGAAUUCUUAUUUUCUUGUUUUAUAGUAAGAUUUUAGUUAACAUUGAUUUAUUAUAAUAUUAUAUUACUAACUACGAAAUUAAUUAAUGUGUUAUUUAUAAAAAUAUAUAAAAUUGUAAGUUAGAUUUUAUUAGAUUCUUUAUGAACAUAUUUUGUUAUAAUUUAAAAAAACUAAUUUUAUAGUUAGUUCAUUAUUAAUGUAAAUAAUAAAGAUGUCAUAUUAACUAAUUCUUUAUUUGACAUAAAUACUCGGUAGCAGGAAAAGUUAAGACUAUAAGGUGUUUUUGAUAGGGACCAUAUUAACUAAUUUUUAAGUGGUCAUAUUAUCUCCUAUAUAUUAAUCCUAGAGCAUUACAAUAUGUAUGCUUUCGUAGCCAUGUGUCAUUACUAGGAUGAUUUUUAGAAUCAUUAGAAAUAUAAUUUAGUCCAUAUAAAUAUAUAUUAUACUUUUAUUAAGAUAACUAUCAAAUUUCUUAGUAGUGUACAAAAGAAUAUUUUUACUUUUUUUAUUAAAUAAAAGUUACAAAAUUACUUAAUAUUAUUAACAUAUAUAUGAAAAUUAACGAAGAUGAAUAAUAAAUAUUAGAUAACAAUUUCUGCAUAUUCUCUCUUUUUUUGUUUAAUUUUAUAUUAUUAAAAGAAUUUAAAAAAUCACAUUAACCAUUCAAUAAAAGUUUUAAACUUUUACUUAUAUGUUUUAUUUAAAUUUUUUAAAACGACUAUAAAUUACUGAAAAUGGUAAAAAUCUCACACUGAAAAUUUUGUGAUUAAUAGUUUAACUAUUUUUUGUUCAAGAAAGAUACAAAUGAUCGUAAAGUCUCAUUAAUAGAUAUUCAUAUUAUAUAUAUAUGUAUAUAUCAUUUAAAUUAAAUUAUAUACUAUAUAAAAAUAUAUAAAAUGUUCAUUUAAAGAUUUGUAUUGAAAAAUCUCAAAUUAAAAUUUUUGUGAUUAACGGUUUAAAUUUUGUUACCAAAAAUAUACAAAUGUUAAUAAAAUCAUAUGAUAUAAUAAACNNNNNNNNNNNNNNNNNNNNNNNNNNNNNNNNNNNNNNNNNNNNNNNNNNNNNNNNNNNNNNNNNNNNNNNNNNNNNNNNNNNNNNNNNNNNUGGUUUAUCAUUUAAUAAAUCAAACAGUUAUUAUUUUAUAUAUAGUUUACAUAUACUAGAAUGGUAUAUAUAUAUAUAUAUAUAUAUAUAUAUAAUUUUAUCGAUAUACUCUUAAGUAACUAAACCUCAAACUGUAAGAUAAUAAAAUAAAUAAUUUGUUUUGUUGUUCUAGAAUUAGAUGAUUUUUAGAUCAAAUUAGUGAAUAUAUACUAGAUAGACAUUUAUAUUCUAUAACAGUUUGAUAUAUUAAAUUUGAAUACUAACCUGUGAAUAGAGUUUGCAGGUAAUUUUUUUCAAAAUUUUGAUUCUUAGAUAUGUAUCUGGAGUGAAACUAAUUUUUACAUGUGUCCAUCUUUUUUAAUUGACACUUAUGUAAUUCUCAGAAAAAGUUAUAUAAAAAAGACAAAAAAAAACUCAUAUCAGUGAAACAGAAACGAGAACCAAAACACAAUUUGUUUUUUGUCGGGGAUUUAUUUAGAUAUUACAAUUAUGAGAAAGAUUACAGAGACAAUUCGAUAACCGGCAAUACUACCUGUCUUAUGAGGAUCUACGCUUAACUGCAUCAUUUGAGCCGUCCUAUGAAGAUCACGCCUGAUCGGAUUUACUUGCACCAUGUUGAGAAAUCCUUGUAAGCCUUUCUUCCGUAAUCGCAUAACUGUUGAAUAAAUCGCUUGCUCUGGGGAUUGAAACCUGGAUUUCCUGUGCAAUCUGCAAGAAAUUGCAUAGUCUGGGAUUUGAACCCCAGACCUGGGUGUAGAAGCCUUUAAACUAUAACCACUAGGCUACGGUGCUUCCACCAAAACACAAUUUUAUAUAUGUAUAAUAUGUAAUCACUUAUGGAGAUUCAAUAGUAAACAAAUCGAGAGCAAAAAAACUAAAUCUCUUUUCGUUAUUUUAUAAUCGAUGUUGCCUAUCUAAUUUUGGUAAUUUGUGUCAGCCGCAAAACUUAAUUUUCUUUUGUGCAUAUGAAGUGUUAAAAAUAAUUAAAAUGAGCUAUAAUACGUUAACUAUUCAACAACGAUAAUACAUUUAAGAAACCAAUAUUUGUAUUCGUCAUUUUACAAUCGAUACGGAUUGUAGUGUUACAAAAUGUUAAAACCCUUUAAAUGAACAAACAUUAAUAUAAAAAUUUGCUCCGCGCAUGCGCGCAGUUUAUAAUCUAGUGACUUGCUAAUAGUAGAUAAAAAAAUAAAAUCAUAAAUUAAUAGAUUAGAUAUGCAAUAUAUGUAUAUAUAUAUUGACGACAGAUGCAAUAUAUAUUGUGCUACAGUAGUCGAUAUUUUUCAGCAUAAUGAAUCAUUGUUUGUUUUUGUUAAAGGGUAUAAGAUGAAAUCUGAAAAUAUAAGGAAAAUACUUGUUUCUAUAAAGGGACCAUAAAUUCGUAACUAGUAUUUGUUAGACGUAUUACUACAGACAUACACAUUUAAUCUUCUUGUGGCCUAUUAGGGUCCCUUAUUUAAAUGAUAAAAUACAAAAAUGACUUGUCUCUAUUUCAAUUGGACCAUGUAAUGAAGCCAGUCAGAAAUCUGAGUAAAUUAAAAAUAUGUCAGUCGUCUACCUUCUUUUAUUUAUUUUCAUAUAAAUAAACCUCUUAACCUCCUACUUCUCACCUAUCACACAAUCCUCUCAAACACAAAGCAUUCUAAGAAUAUCUUAAAGAUUUCAAGAAAAAAACAUGGGGUUAACGGAGGAGACACAGAUAACUCCGGUGCAAGUCACCGACGAUGAAGCUGCUCUCUUCGCCAUGCAGCUAGCAAGCGCCUCCGUUCUUCCGAUGGUUUUAAAAACGGCUUUAGACCUCGAUCUUCUCGAGAUCA